rnacentral:rRNA from 1 species
CCAAUAGCGUAUAUUAAAGUUGUUGCAGUUAAAAAGCUCGUAGUUGAAUUUCAGGCCUGGCUGGACGGUCCGCCCUUCGGGUGAGUACUGUCUGUGGUCGGGUCCUACCUUCUGGCGAAGCGUCAUGGCCUUAACCGGCCGUGGCGGGGAACCAGGACUUUUACUGUGAAAAAAUUAGAGUGUUCAAAGCAGGCAAUCGCUUGGAUACAUUAGCAUGGAAUAAUGGAAUAGGACAAUGGUUCUAUUUGUUGGUUUCUAGGACCGUUGUAAUGAUUAAUAGGGAUAGUUGGGGGCAUUAGU